GCGGAAGCGGGCUGGGCGGUGCGCGUGUGCAGCUGGGCCAUGGCGAGCGCGGCGGGGCUGGCGCUGUGCGGGCAGGUGCUGGUGGUGCGGGGCGGCAGCCGGUUCCUGGCCAUCUCCACCGCGGACAGUGAUGAAGGCGGCAUCUUCACGUAUGACUGCAGUACCGCAGUGGAGAAGUCUGCGCAAGAAGAUAAAGGGGAGGACAGACAGCCCACGGAGCAGGGGACUGACAGGAUUCUGGCGUCCACCUUCUCCAAGUCUGGCAGCUAUUUUGCUUUAACUGAUGACAGUAAGCGUCUGAUUCUUUUCCGUACAAAACCAUGGCAAUGUCUGAGUGUCAGGGCUGUGGUGCGGAGGUGCACUGCUCUGACUUUCACAGCCUCAGAAGAGCGGGUCUUGGUGGCUGACAAGUCUGGGGACGUCUACUCCUUCUCUGUGCUGGAACCCAAUGGACUUGGCAGGCUGGAGCUGGGGCAUCUGUCCAUGCUUCUAGAUGUGUCUGUGAGUCCUGACGACCGCUUCGUGCUCACUGCAGACAGGGAUGAGAAGAUCCGGGUCAGCUGGGCUGCAUCUCCACAUAGCAUUGAGGCCUUCUGCCUGGGGCACAUGGAGUUUGUGAGCCGCAUCUCUGUGGUGCCUGGUCAUCCCGAGCUGUUGCUUUCCUCCUCUGGGGAUGGCACCCUGAGGCUCUGGGAGUACAGAAGUGGCCGCCAGCUUCAGUGUUGUGACCUGGCCAGCCUACAGGAGCCUGCAGAGCACCCCGGCCACAAGGGUUUGGCUGCGUCCAGGAUCACGUUCUGGGGACUGGAGAGCUGUGUGGCACUUCUGUGUGACUGCGUUCCUGUGAUCUUCAUCUUCCAGCUUGAUGCCAGCAGACGGCAGCUGGUGUUCAGACAACAGCUGACUUUCCCACACCGAGUGUGGGAUGUCGUGUUUGAGGAGACUCAGGGGCUGUGGGUUCUGCAGGACUGCCGUGAUGCCCCCCUGGUGCUCUGGAGGCCUGUGGAUGGCCAGUGGCAGCCUGCUCCUGAAGGUGCUGUGUCCCAGAGGCUCUGCGGCCAUCUCCGUGCGAACUGGGCCAUGCUGGAAGGCUCCUUGGGUGCAGAUGAUGGCUUCCGCAGCCUUUACAAGGCCACCUUGGACAACAUGACCUCUUACCUGAAGAAGAAGGAGGAGAGACUGCAGCAGGCAGACCUGGCCGUCUUCACCAAGGAUUCAGAUUACAGACGUGGCUAAUGACAGCACAGCUGUGGCUGCACGGUUACACAGACUCCAAAGACGGGGGAGAAGGAUGGAUCUGUAGGAGGUAGAAGAGCCUCAGUGUGUGUUGGUGAGUGGACAAGAAUACACGGGAUUGCCCUUCAGGCCUGGACGGGGACACUGACAGCGUGCCACAGCAGUACCCAGAGGACAAGACACUGAGCACAAUAAGCCAGACACAAAAGGACAAAUCCGUAGAGUCCACUCAAAUGAGGUCCUUGGGUGUGAUCGGUGGCCAUUCCCAGAGGACUGUCUUCUCAGAAGGUGCUGGUGGGGAGUGCCUGACCUGAGACUAGUCCUGGCCCUGAGCUGCAGUGCUGUCUAGUCUAGAAACAUCAGUGUACUCUCCUGCAAGAGGGCAGUAAGAACUGAGGGCCUGAGGGAGCACCUUUGGUGGGCGUGGUAAGCCUGUGAAAGCCACAUGCUCCUGCUCCGUCCCUCGAUGAGGCAAUGUGCUUCCACCGCUAAGGUAAGCCCAGUAGAGCCCUGUUUUAGGAGACAGCUAAACAUGGUUUCCCUAGUGCCAUGGCCUGCUGCUGUACAAAGAGACUUCUUUAAAGAGAGCGAAUAAAGAGACAAGCCUCCCGGGGACCUGGACAGAAGAGAACCUCACAGCCAGUGAGCCCCACUCUCCUCCUGCUGGGUCUGAGUGGACCAGGCUCUGAGAGAUGUCAGGACUGAGAUGGGUGCAGCCAGCAGGCAGGGAGGUACAGGAGGUCCGAUGCUAUAGAGUGGAGCUGUGUGGACAGGAAGCUUCUGAGAUCAGCUGGAAGGCCAGUCUUGCCACUGCUGGAGCUCUGAGUGUCUAACAAUCUUAGAUUCAUAAAUGUGCUGAGUCCAGACCUUGAGGCCAGUGGCUCCCUGUGGGGUCUGGUGGAGUAUGAGGUGACCUUUCCCAAGGGAGGUAGACUUCCCUCCAAAUUCAUAUGACAGCAAAGCAUAUGUCAUGCAGGGAGCCAAAGACGUCAGUGUUUGGAAACAUUUCAAAGUGACUUAACCAACCACUUUUGGGCAGACCGAGCUCUUCAGUGCCUGAGGCAGAGCCUGAGUGUCCGAUCCUCCAGAGGAGCCACUGCCAUGUGGGCAGGCCUGGGGCAGCAGAGAGAAUGACCAGGGCCCUGUGGGCCCCUUUGGCACUUUCCCACAAGCACUCUUCCCCACCCAUGGGGUUUCUUCUUACUGGGUGUCACUGAGUUAGACUUUGGCGGAAUCGAACUUUGGCUCAUUGCUGUCCUUCUGGGGGGUGGGGAAGCAGGCAUUGUUUAAAUUGCCACAGGGAAGGAGUUCAUGAAACAGCCUCUCUAUGUAGUUCUGGCUGGCCUCAGCCUCCUGAGUGCUGGGACUACAGGAGGUGCACCAGGCCUGACUCUAUUUGUUCUUUGUGUUUUUUUAAGUGGUUAGAAAAUUUCCAGUCCAAUGAUGACCUGUUCUUCCUCUGAACCACUCUCACUUCCAAAUAUUCAAAGAUGACCGGGAUGAACCUUCCAUUUUCCCCCUGGACCUCUCUCUCAUUUUGCUGCUUCUCAGAGGAAGUCAGGACACACUUUGGGGUUUUUUCUGUCUGUUUUCCUCCUGUUUUACAUUUUAACAGACAACACUUUAUGGAAAGAAAGGAAUCUCUGUGAUGAGGAAACAAUCCUCUUUUUUAGUUUAUUGAGACAGGGUCUCAUGGAACCCAGGGUGAUCUUGAACUCACUAUGUAGUCAAGGGUCACCUCGAACUUCUGAUCCUCCUGCUUCAACCUUCUGAGUGCUGAGAUCACAGGUACGUGCCACCAUGCCCUGUUUUAUUUGAUGCCAGGGAUCAAACCCAGGGCUUUGUCCAUACUGGGCAGGCACCCUACCAACCGAGCUGCAUCCCCAGCAUAUUUUUUAAUUCUAUUUAAUAUUUUUCAGACAGGGUCUCCCUAUGUAUCCCUGGCUGGCCUGGAUCUCCAUAUGUAAACCAGGCUGGCCCUAAACUCAGAUCUUCCUACCUCUGCCUCUCAAGAACUGAGAUUAAAAGCGUGUACCACCAUACUUGUGAAAAGGCCUUGCUAUGUAGCCCUAGGCUGACCUGGAACUCAUGAUCUCGUCUGGGCCUCUGGAGUGCAGGGAUUAUAGGUGAGUCACCACAUCUGGCGUUACAAUUCUCUUUUAAUGGAAGAAUUGGAAAAUAUGUCUCCUGUGGGAGCCUUUGGGUGGAUGGAGGCCCGUGUAUCUGCCUUCAGUCACUGGGGACUGGCAUCUUCUGCAGGGAUGACAGGCCAAGACCAGGCUCUUCUCAGGCCACCGCAGCUGCAGGACAGAACAGCGCUACAGGGAAAACAGGGCAGCAAUCCUCCUAUCCAUUCCUUGAGGUCGAGAAAGCAGAAAACCUGGGGAAGACAGAAGUGUGUGCUCCCAGCCAGGUCUGCCCCUCCUUCUGAAGCGCCACGGCAGAGGACCCAGUCAUUCCUGUGUCCCUGCCUCAGCUCCGUGACACUGAGCUUUGGCUGUGUUGUCCUACAGGACACAGCUCACAGGCACUGAAGAGCAGAACCCCCACUCCCAUCCUCAGUGUCCCCGGGAGCCCCCCAGCCACUCCCAUCCUCAGUGUCCCCGGGAGCCCCCCAGCCUGUAAGGACGACUCCCAGGCCUCUUCCUGGCCGGUGCCUUCCCUCCUACCUUGCAAAAUGCCAAUUUUCUAAGAGUCAGUUUGACCAAUGCCCCAUCGAUUGUUUAAUGCCUUUCAGCUGAUCAGGCUUCAAUCUGCAUUCAUGCCAGCAAAUUCAGACAGUUUACUCCGCCCGUGUCCCAGUGCCUGAGGAGGGGAGCGGAGAGACCAGAAUUGGAGGGGCAGGAUGAGACUUUUAAAGCAUAGAACCUCGACUGUAGAGUUCUGAUAAAUGACUGAUUGAUAGAGAUGGGCCCUCACUGUGUAGCCCAGGCUGGUCUCAAUUCUCCUUCCUCAGCUGGAAUUAUAGACGGGCAACCAUCACACCGGUCACUCCUUUAUUGGAGCAAUUAUCACAAGCAAGUAUUUCAUAUUGAAGAUAAACUCAAGACUGUAUUCAGGUUGAGGGGUAGUUUGAUGGCACAUACAUACACACAUACAGACCACACCAUACACACAUUCACCCUGCCCCCCCACAUACGUACCUCACUACACACCACACCCCUCCCCACGCUCAGAGUUUAUUCCCCAGAACACCCCAUCUCCAUAUAUGUAUAAAGUGUGAAAGCUUGUCAUCUUUAAGUAUUUUUUCCAUUGUAUCUUUUAAUUCUUUUCUUUAAAAAGUGUUAUUUGUUUUUUUUAGGAGAGGAAAGGGUUUAUUUCAACUUACAGUUCCAAGUCAGUCCAUCACUGAGGGAAGUCAAGGCAGAAACUUGAUGACAGGCCUGCUUGCUAUUACAUACAGCAUUACCUUUGACCAAGGAACUCAAAAAAAGUGUUAUUUUUAUUUUAUGUGUAUUAAUAUUCUGCCUAUAUGUGUAUAUGUGCACCAUGCUCAUGCAGUACCCAUGGAGGCCAGAAGAGGGCGCUGGAUCCUCUGGAACUGGAGCUAUGACAGUUGUGAGUGGUCAUGUGGGUGCUGGGAGCUGCUCCCCCUCUGCAGGUGCUCUUAGCUGCUGAGCCAGCUCUCCAGCCCCAGCCUCUCCUCCUUAUUCUGUCUUUCCGGUCCAAGGUGUUCCCUGUCCACUGUGCGAUCCUAUGCCAGUGAGUGCAGGAAUGAUGUUUAUAAAAUGGGCAUAACCUA